AUACGGAGGGUCCAAGCGUUAUCCGGAAUCAUUGGGUUUAAAGGGUGCGCAGGCGGUUUAUUAAGUCAGUGGUGAAAUCACGGGGCUCAACCUCGAAACUGCCAUUGAUACUGAUAAACUUGAGUUCAGUUGGAGUAGGCGGAAUGUGUAGUGUAGCGGUGAAAUGCUUAGAUAUUACACAGAACACCGAUAGCGAAGGCAGCUUACUAAACUGAUACUGACGCUGAGGCACGAAAGCGUGGGGAGCGAACAGGAUUAGAAACCCUAGUAGUCC
rnacentral:rRNA from 1 species